CUGGCAUCAUCUGCGUUGAGAAAGAAUCCACUCGAUAUUGUCGAAGUAUGAAUUGUAGACAAAUAAAAUCGAAAAGCCUCAGAUCUAAAUCAAUGCAGAAUGCGUUUAUUGAUUUGUGCAACCCGCCCGAAGUCAUCGAAGGACAACCCUCUGCGUUUCACAUACCGCUGCGUGCGGGAACGGCCAGGACCACGAGCCGCUUCCGACAAAAAGAAAAAGGCCGUGGCCCAACCUUGCUACGGGUCAGUUUCGCCGUUGCGCAACACAUUCUUCGAGGGAGUCCACGUGCCAUUCCGAAAGGUAUAUCCGCGAUUCGCCACCAGCCU
rnacentral:lncRNA from 1 species